CUCAUUUCCAUUGGAGAAUGAUCUCCCAUUCCAGCAAAAGCUGAUUUGAGUGCUGCUGUUCCAUCCCCAGAGUGGAAAUGAAGACCCUGCUCUGAAGAACAUAGAGCAGCCAGUUGCAGUACUGCUGCUGGUCCACCUGGGGGAAAGGAACGCUGCUUUCGCAACAAGCCCAGUGGAUGGACCUGAACCAGAUCUCCAGAUCUGAACAUCCCUGUUCUUAGCAUAUAGCGGCACAACACUAGAGCUGGGCAGGGACAGUUCUCCCAUCCCAUGAAAACUGGAGAUUUCAAAUAAUUUCCCAUUGUACAUCAGGAUGAAUAUUUGCAUUUUUUUAGAGAUCCACCCAGAAUAGCGUCAUGGUCAGGGCCCUCAUCUAGUAUCUGAUUGUGCUUGAGUCUCCGCUCUUCCUCCUUCAGAAGAAGGACUUGAACCUGGUUCUCCCCCAGGGCAGCAGGCUUUAUUGAAGAGGCAGCAUAGCCAAGAUCUCUAAAUAGGAGUGUAUUGAAAUUCUGGGCCCAGAUCCUGAGCAAUUGCCGAGGAGCCCUAAGCAAAGCUCAGGAUGGGCUAUGUGAUUCACUACUGAACCAUAUUAACAGAGUCAGCUGAGGCAGAGUUGCCUGAACUGGAGGAGGAGGAUGUGUGGCAUCUGGACUUAAUAUAGCACCUUCUUCAACUGAUUGGAGACACUGAAUACUACUGAGACAUUUCUGCAUGAAGC